CGUUGUGCACUUGUUGUGUGGGCAUGCGCCCAUUAUUGCUUAUAUGUUGUUUAAUUAAAUGCAAACUGGGAGGCUACUUUUUUUUAUAUUUUUUUUAAUAACUCAUUGUUUUUAACUUUUGAUUAUUUGAAGAAUAAUGAAAUAAUAAUUAUUUUAAGUAUCAAUUUGUAAGAAAUAAUUGUUUUUGUAUAAAAAUCUUUUUUUUUGUUAAAAGAUAUUUAUGUCUUUGUUAAGAUUUGUGGAUUUAAAAGAAAAACAUAUGGACUUUAAAAGACUUUAAAAGACUUUAAACAUCAUAAAUUCCUUUUUCCUUUUGUUUAUAUUAAUAUUGUGGUUAAGAUUAAUUAUUGAGUUAUUGCACUUAAGUGCAGGAAAGUGUAACUUUUUAAGUUUCUCAUCUCUAUGUAUUGUCAUAUCUAUGGUCAUCUUCAUAUUGGAAAGGAAAAGGUAGCACUUUCCUUUCUGUUUUUGUCAGCCAUAAUGUAGACAUCAAAAUUUUUGUGCUCGUCACGUAUCUAUCGACAUCCAUGUCGAAAGUGGUGUAUUUACUACCGCAUUAGCGGUCCGGGAGUUGGCGACCUCUCGCUGCCCCAUGCCUGAGGUGUGAUCCAUAAGCUUCGCCCAUAACAUCUGGGCACCCCAGGGCUUGUCCCGUGGUUCUACGGCGAUGGGAGCCGCCAACAAAUAUCCCAGGAAAGUUUUCGACGACUAAAUCCUAAGCAUGCAGCAUGGGUAGUUAACCUGUUUCGGCCACGCGUAUCUUGCAAUUUCAUCGACUAUUUCAUCAAACUACCCCUUUGGCAUCGUAAUCUACAUUUAAUUCCUGAGUAAUAUUUUAAUUCUUUCUGUAUCUUAAAUUUACGUUAAUUAUUUUGAAAAUGUAACUAAGUAAUAAUUAUUUUGAAAAAUGUAACUAAUUAAUCAUAUUGUGAAGAUGUAACUAAGUAAAAAAUGUCGGGGCCCCGUUUUGUUUUGAAUGUACGAAUACUCAAUUAAUACUCUUUAUUGUGUUUUAAAUAAAUAUGUUUUGUUAUGGCUGACCCGAUAUCAGUGUGUAUUUUAUGUUGCAAUUACCUAAACUUUCUUUAUUUAAUUCCUUAUCUAUAUAAAUUCUUAACAGGUUAUCAACUUUUGUUCGGUAGUUUUCCCAGUCGGCAUAUUUUCUCUCUACUCGUUAUUUAUUCAAUACAACAAAGCAAUGCCAUUCAACCUAAGAUCCCGGAGUCUUCCGUCGUAAAUUACCUUGGUGAGGUUUAGCAAACCGAAACAAGAGUAAUGACCGGCAUAAAGAUGGUAGCAGAGCGUGGUUGUCUUGGUAUUUUGUUUUGUUGUGUUUUUUUUGUUUAAGUUUAAAUAUUUUUUUUUUGAGUAAAUUAACGAAUUUUAAGUUUUCAUAGUUUUAACUUUGAAAUAAGUUCCAAGCUAUCAUCUUGAAGUGCUGUUUUAACUAUUUAAUUUAUGGUAAUUAUUGUUUGAUAAUCUUUUUUAUGGCAAUCUAUUUAUUUUUACUUUAAAGUGUUUUCCUUAUAAGGUACAUUAUGAAGUUAGAAUUGUCCAAGAGAUUUCUUUGAUUUCUUUUUUUUCUCUCGUUGGUUUUAAUCUUGAAGUUCUAAUUUUCAGUUUCUAAGGUGUUUUGUCUUCAGUGACAUUUAAUCUGCAAGAGAUCUAAACUUUGUUUUAAAGUAUGCAUCUUUCUUAAUAUAAACAAAUUAUCUAUUUACAGUUUCUGGCUAUAUUUGAAUCAGUGUGGUUGUUGGUCCUGUUUACACCAGUGUGUUGCCUUUAUCAUGUAGUUUACAGGUUAUUUUGGGUAGGUUAUUAAGUAUUCCUUUUAAGUAUAAUUUGUGGUCUUCAGUUUAAGUGUGCAUUGUUUAGGAACGGCCGCCUAACUUUGUGUCCUACUGUUGGCGUUGUUUUGUUAUUUUUUUUUAACACUUAUUCCUGCUUUCAGUUGAAGGUCCACCAUUCGGGUCCACUGUUAGCGAAUUAGUGUCUUUAGGGUCCUUGACUCAGUUGAUCGUGGACUCAUGACCCACGUGUCCUAGUCUUUGAAUCCCUCGUAACUCGAGUCAUAAAUAAAUAAAAAACCAUGGUACUAGUUUUUAAGUUGUUGCAACAUUUAAUUUUUUUUAAUAUUAUUUCUGGGGAACAAGUUUGGUUAUAGGGUUUUCUUAGUUUGAAUUUUUAUGUUCAAGUAAUCAUGUGGUUAUUAGUUGGUAUUUGGGGUAUGUAUUUUCGUACAAGUUAUUUUGUUAUCAUCUUCAUGUUUUAUUUUCAUCAGUUUUUUAUGUCCAUUUCACAUAAUUUAGGGUUUGGUGUAACAACUAGAUUAAUUUCAACACUGAUAUUUUUUUGUUUUAGUUAAUCAUGUAAGAUUGAGGUUAUGUUUGGUAAUUGUCGUUUAAUUUGUCGCAAGUUGUUUGAGAGUUUUAAAAUUUAUAUUCCUUUUAACCUAUAAAAUUGUCGUGGUUUUAAUUACAUAAUUUGCAUAUUCUUUAUUAAUAUAAUUCUAAAUGAUAUUUCAAUUUUAUAAGAUUGCAGAUUUUGUUCGUGAGAGAAUUGUUUGCAUAUUAUUUCUCGUUUUCAUAAUAUUUCCAUGAUUCUGAUUUUUUUUGCAGAUUGCCAUAUGUUGAAAAGUCUGUGGUUUCUUCAGUAAUAUUUAAUUGAUGUGAUGUUUGUUUACUUUUCGUGUAUCACCAUUUGGGGCACGUUUUUCAUAAUUUAACCAUGAUAGGUAUAUUUUCUUGUCUUGUUGUCAUCAUUUAAUAAGUUCUUUUUAUAGCAGGUUGUUUUAAUAAUCUCUUAUGUUGUUUCUUCUGCCCAUGUUUUGUUAUAGGUCAUCUUGGGUAUGUAUUUUAGAUAUUGAUUUCUUUUCAGAUACAUUUUGCCGUUUCCCUAUUAUGUUCAUUUAAUGUGUGUUCUAGUGCUUUUCAUUGCACAGUUUAAUAAUUGAGGUUAUGGUAUUGUUUUAUAAGUAUCUAAUUUGCAGUAUAUUUAUUUUUGAAUCAAGUAUUUGGGUAAUAUAUUCUUUUUGUCUUAAAUUGUGUUGGAUCAUCAUUUAAAUUUUUUCUCUUGAGCCUAUUAAUUUUUUUUAUUUAAAUUUCACUAUUUUGCUUUGUUUUGUUUUAAUUAUUUUGUUUCAGUGAGAUGCAGUAAAAGGUCAGUGGUUUUCUUGUUAGAAUUUUGUCGUUUUCUCUUUUGAAUCUUUUCUUUAAGCACUAUUAUAAAGUUUUAUAGUUUUCAUACAAUGUAUGUAUGUAAUUUUCUAUUCUGGGAGUAAGUGACUUCCAGACGAUAUUUGGGUUGUGUUUUAAUUGUGUUGUCGACUUUGGUCAACUUUUUAUUUUAGGCAGGUCCUCUGAGCCAGAGCCAGUGAGCCAGUGCCAAGUCCUGUUGAGAAGUGUUUAGGCUUCACCAGCACUUUUCAUUUUUUUUUUUGCAGGCCUCAGUCUUUUUUUUAUCAAACCAUAUAUCUGCCAUGGAAGAUCCAAUCACUCAUUUUUAAUAAUAGUUUAAAUUUAGAUUAAUAUGUUUUGUGAGUUUAUUUGUUUUUAAAUAAUAAUUAAUAUUUUUUUUUUGAGUGCUAGCUUUGAUUCAUUGCUUUUCUAUUUUGUUUGUCUUGCUAGGGUCAUCUUUUAAAAUAACAUUUUAAUAUAUCCGUUUUGUUUCUUGUAUUUUCAUCCAAGACAUAUACUUUUUUUUGAAAUUUCUGUUUUGUAGGUUAUGUGUGUGUUAGUUCAUGUGGGGAUGUGGUGCGUUGUGUGUUUACACAGCUUUCCACACGAUACAGCCAUUUCACAUGUGUUGCACACAUUACACCGUGUAGUGUCAUCAAAUUUAAUCAUUUUUCAAAUUUGUGUUUAACUUUUUUGAACUUAGGUACUUUUCCUGUUUAAUUUUGUGUACUAGGUUGUUGCUGUAGGGCAUCUCUCCUGUGGGGUGUCUGCUGCAUGGAGUUUGCUAGGGUGGUUGCGGCUUCGGCUCGGUGUUGCUGCGACUCACCGUUUCAGCCAUCUCUGGUGAAUUUCGUGUAGUGAAGCUCUGCUUGGUGGGAUUGUCUUAUAGUGGCACAUUCUUCAUUGUAAGGUAUGGUUUCAACUUUGAUUUCUUCUCAAAAAUUUUUCCUUUUAAUACAUUGCAAGCAGUUCUUUUUUUAUUCACUUCACCUUUGCUGAAUCAACUUUAUUCAUGUUAUAUUUUGUGUUAGUGGUCAAUCUUGCUUUUGCAGGUGCUAAAUUAUCUCUUGAGUGUCUAAGGUAUGGGACUUAGUCAUUCAUCUUUGGACGGCCAUUUUCUUAAUUUUUUUAAUUUUCAAUUUUUGUGUUGUCGUUUUGAAUAAGCAUUUUAAGAUUUUGUUUUCUUUUUUUUGGUGGCUCAAAUUUCUUUUAUAUUUGAUCGGUAUUGUCAAUGUAAGUUUUGUUAAACUUUCAUUAGGUAUUCUUCUAUUUUGAAACUUUUUUAAAUUUUAGCAUGAUGUGUUGUAUUAACUGCAGUGUUCAGAGCGGUAUAGUAUGAUCAGGAUUUUAGUGACCAGGAUUUAAUUAGGGGUAAAGAAUCCCCAAGUUUUUUUUUUAUAAUAAGAAGGGGUAGAGAAUCCCCAAUUUUGUUAAUAUGGAGGAGGUAGAAGACCCCCCAUUUAGCUGAAUAAGGAGGGGUAAGGAGUCCCCACUAUUCUGAAUAAGCCGACGGGCAUUUUUUUUUUAUAUGAGGUAUGGUCCUCUUUUGUUGUAGUAUGUACUGGCGGUCCUGAGUAUUUGUACCACCCAUCUGUCCUGCUUGUUUCUUCGAUUACUCAUUCAUUUUCUUCGUCCUUUUCGUAUUUUGAUCUUCGUCGUCGUCUUCGUUCUUCUCUAGCUUUGAGAUUUUUCUCUCGUAGGUAUGGGAUAAUCCUACGUUUAGCUAAUUUAUGUCGAUUUCGAGACAGAGAUUUGUUGUUUAACUCAUUUGUGUGAGUAUUUAAGUAUUUUAAUGUGAAGGGGUGAGUAGUCCCCAUUUUGAUGUAGAGGUGUAUAUUCCUCAUGGUGCAUUGUCUGUUGUUUCAUCUCUGUUUUCUUGAGUAUAGCAGGAAGUUGAUCCUGUGAUUCUCCAAAAAUCCUUUAUAGGAAGAGUAUUUUACUCAUACUUUUCGCAAAACACAAUCAAGGUGUACCAUAAUCUAUGAACUGCACCAAAACAUUUUCCCGGUCUUCUAGCAUCCAGUUCAAAAUCUUGGCUCAAAACAAUCUGAAAAAAAAAAAAAAAAAAAAAAACCUUCAAAUUUACACACACAAUCAAGGUCUACCAUAAUCUGGUUGACAAAAACAUAUUCGUGGUCAUUCGUUUCCACCACUAACUCCGUCAUUACCAAUUGUUCGUCACUCCUAGUGUUUUCAUUGGUUCUUCCUUUAACAUGUUUGGUUGGGUAAGUCAAACUUAUCUUUACCUACCAUACAACUCCCAAAGGUUAAUUGUAACAUUAGCGACUUAAUGUUUUCAAACAUUGCUAAUAUUUCUUAAUAUGUCUAUUAUUCAGGUUAUUAACAACCUAGUCAUAUCACCAUCCUGUCCUGUUCUGUUCUUCAUCUACACACAUAUUUAUUAAUUAAUAUUUUGAUCUUUGAUAUCUCUCGUAUAUUGAUGUUUUGCAUUCUCGUGCAUUUAAGUUUUAUAGAUUGCCAUAUAAAAAGAAGAUUUUUUUUAAGAGAGUGGUGUGCUUUGAGGGGGGGAGUGUGUGCCGUUGUGCACUUGUUGUGUGGGCAUGCGCCCAUUAUUGCUUAUAUGUUGUUUAAUUAAAUGCAAACUGGGAGGCUACUUUUUUUAUAUUUUUUUAAUAACUCAUUGUUUUUAACUUUUGAUUAUUUGAAGAAUAAUGAAAUAAUAAUUAUUUUAAGUAUCAAUUUGUAAGAAAUAAUUGUUUUUGUAUAAAAAUCUUUUUUUUUGUUAAAAGAUAUUUAUGUCUUUGUUAAGAUUUGUGGAUUUAAAAGAAAAACAUAUGGACUUUAAAAGACUUUAAAAGACUUUAAACAUCAUAAAUUCCUUUUUCCUUUUGUUUAUAUUAAUAUUGUGGUUAAGAUUAAUUAUUGAGUUAUUGCACUUAAGUGCAGGAAAGUGUAACUUUUUAAGUUUCUCAUCUCUAUGUAUUGUCAUAUCUAUGGUCAUCUUCAUAUUGGAAAGGAAAAGGUAGCACUUUCCUUUCUGUUUUUGUCAGCCAUAAUGUAGACAUCAAAAUUUUUGUGCUCGUCACGUAUCUAUCGACAUCCAUGUCGAAAGUGGUGUAUUUACUACCGCAUUAGCGGUCCGGGAGUUGGCGACCUCUCGCUGCCCCAUGCCUGAGGUGUGAUCCAUAAGCUUCGCCCAUAACAUCUGGGCACCCCAGGGCUUGUCCCGUGGUUCUACGGCGAUGGGAGCCGCCAACAAAUAUCCCAGGAAAGUUUUCGACGACUAAAUCCUAAGCAUGCAGCAUGGGUAGUUAACCUGUUUCGGCCACGCGUAUCUUGCAAUUUCAUCGACUAUUUCAUCAAACUACCCCUUUGGCAUCGUAAUCUACAUUUAAUUCCUGAGUAAUAUUUUAAUUCUUUCUGUAUCUUAAAUUUACGUUAAUUAUUUUGAAAAUGUAACUAAGUAAUAAUCAUUUUGAAAAAUGUAACUAAUUAAUCAUAUUGUGAAGAUGUAACUAAGUAAAAAAUGUCGGGGCCCCGUUUUGUUUUGAAUGUACGAAUACUCAAUUAAUACUCUUUAUUGUGUUUUAAAUAAAUAUGUUUUGUUAUGGCUGACCCGAUAUCAGUGUGUAUUUUAUGUUGCAAUUACCUAAACUUUCUUUAUUUAAUUCCUUAUCUAUAUAAAUUCUUAACAGGUUAUCAACUUUUGUUCGGUAGUUUUCCCAGUCGGCAUAUUUUCUCUCUACUCGUUAUUUAUUCAAUACAACAAAGCAAUGCCAUUCAACCUAAGAUCCCGGAGUCUUCCGUCGUAAAUUACCUUGGUGAGGUUUAGCAAACCGAAACA